CCACCUGAUGGUGAGGUAAGUGUCAGCGAUGUGCUGGAUAGGCCUUCUUAUGCAGGCAACAGUAAUGAUCCAGAGGGCAGACGAGAUGGCCCAAGGGAUUCUGACAGCAAGAAAACUCAGAUGACCCUGGUAGCUGUGACAGCAACACCAGCACCAAUGUGGAGGAUGAGUCAGCUGAGGACAGCAGUGACUCGGACGAGGGGGAGGACGGCAUGGAGGAGAGCAAUGCUCCUGGUGACACCAGCUAUGCGCCCUCCACAAAUUGACGACAGUGACUGCGUAAAGGCGCCACCCCACAAAUAGCGGAAGUUUAUUGUUUUUGAAGGGUGCCUCCUGGAGCGUUUCAAGGUGUGCCGCAAGUGCCAUGCCCCUUGCUGCAACACCACAG